AUCACCUUUCUAAAGUCAGGAUGGUAAAUAAUUUACAGGGUAAUCAGAUUCAAAACACAGAGAAUCCCUCUAGGCAAAACCUUAAGUUACAAAAAGGCUUAAAAACAGGAAUACACAUUCCCUCCAGCACAGCUUAUUUGCCAUUU